UAUAAUCUAUUGUUCUGUCCAUGGACAUAUUGUUAUUAUUGUUGUUAUAUGCUGGUGUAAAUGUGUGUGCGUAGCUGUGUGCUAAUAGCUAAUAGUGCUUCUGUUACUUCUUUUGCUUUGUUGGAAAGCUAAAGAUAAUUAGCAGGUAAGUUAGUGCUGCCUCCUAAGUGAGUUUCAGAAGAAGAGCCAGUGCUAGUGUCACGGGCCGAGCCAGGGCUGCGGCAGCACUCCCUGUCGGCUGACACCCCCAAUUCCACCCUUCUUGAGGAGCUACCCCGUACCAGAGAAAAAGGCAGAACACCAGAAUUCAAGUAAGGUGAAUACAGCCCGAGCAGCUACGGCACCAGAUGGCGAAGGCUUGGUAGUAACUCUGUUUUUCAAGUCCUCUGACUGGGUAUCAUCAGUGACUGUCUCUGUUCAGUGGCUCGUUUUUCACAAGUUCAUCAAACAACUGUGGUAAGAAUACUUCAUCAAGCACGGUCACCGUGGCCACCAGAUCCAGUCUGUAUCCAGACCAGAGGGUCACUGCAGUCACCCGGAUCCAGUACGUAUCCAGACCAGAUGGUGGAUCAGCACCUAGAAAGGACCUCUACUGCCCUGAAAGACAGCAGAGACCAGGACAACUAGAGCCCAGAUACAGAUCCCCUGUAAAGACCGUGUCUCAGAGGACCACCAGGACAAGACUACAGGAAACAGAUGAUUCUUCUGCACAAUCUGACUUUGCUGCAGUCUGGAAUUGAACUACUGGUUUCGUCUGGUCAGAGGAGAACUGACCCCCAACUGAGCCUGGUUUCUCCCAAGGUUUUUUUCUCCAUUCUGUCACCGAUGGAGUUUUGGUUCCUUGCCGCUGUCGCCUCUGGCUUGCUUAGUUGUGGUCACUUCAUCUACAGCGAUAUCAUUGACUUAAUUGCAAAUAAAUGCACAGACACUAUUUAACUGAACAGAGAUGACAUCACUGAAUUCAAUGAUGAACUGCCUUUAACUAUCAUUUUGCAUUAUUGACACACUCUUUUCCUAAUGAAUGUUGUUCAGUUGCUUUGACGCAAUGUAUUUUGUUUAAAGCACUAUAUAA